rnacentral:rRNA from 1 species
GACGAACGCUGGCGGCGUGCCUAAUACAUGCAAGUAGAACGCUGAAGGAGGAGCUUGCUUCUCUGGAUGAGUUGCGAACGGGUGAGUAACGCGUAGGUAACCUGCCUGGUAGCGGGGGAUAACUAUUGGAAACGAUAGCUAAUACCGCAUAAGAGUGGAUGUUGCAUGACAUUUGCUUAAAAGGUGCACUUGCAUCACUACCAGAUGGACCUGCGUUGUAUUAGCUAGUUGGUGGGGUAACGGCUCACCAAGGCGGCGAUACAUAGCCGACCUGAGAGGGUGAUCGGCCACACUGGGACUGAGACACGGCCCAGACUCCUACGGGAGGCAGCAGUAGGGAAUCUUCGGCAAUGGACGGAAGUCUGACCGAGCAACGCCGCGUGAGUGAAGAAGGUUUUCGGAUCGUAAAGCUCUGUUGUAAGAGAAGAACGAGUGUGAGAGUGGAAAGUUCACACUGUGACGUAUCUACCAGAAAGGAC